rnacentral:lncRNA from 1 species
AAAAUUCAAGUUAUGUCUAAAUCCGCCGCACACCAUAUUGAAUGUUAAGGUAAGAAAAACCAAUGUUUUAGCUUUGCGUUUUUUUGGCAUUUACGAAUUGCCUAAUGGUCCCAAUAAAGCGAGGACAUGGGAUCUUCUUCGACUGCUUGCAUAACAGUGGGAUGGGCCAUGGAUGUGCGAGGGUGACUGAUAGCUCAAUUAUUCGUUGCCGAUUUGACCCCAUCUUGAUUGUUUGUUGACCUUUUUUGACCGAGUUUUGACCCUCAUUUGUGAUUGGUUGGAAGAAACAAGGGUUUUUUUGUUUUGUUUUCUCAAAUGGACAAUUUCAGUCCGUUCGACUUUCUUUCUCAUUGUGUUGUUGAGCUUGUAGGUAUUCGAUGGAUAGAGGAUGACAAGACAAUUCCAACAAGACCAAGCGGGAGUCAAUCAGAGCUCGGACGGAGAGAUAUGGGCGAAAGAAGAAUCUAGGUCCGGUCUGUGUGAAGAACCACAAGGCAUGGUCACUGGAAAAUCCACACGUUGUGUGGCCUAUGCAGCUGGCAGUACUUAAGUUGAUUUUGAGGAGAGAGAGAACAUAUUCUUGGCUUCCCAUUGAUUCUGUUACCUCCAAUUUCUCUCCCACAAAACACUAUUCUGAAAGUACACUUAAUCCAUCAUCAAUUGGAGACCUUGAAAGACCAAAUUGAAGCACUUAGAGAAUCUUGGAGUCAAUAUUAG